AGCGGAGGAAAAGAAACUAACAAGGAUUCCCCUAGUAACUGCGAGUGAAGCGGGAAAAGCUCAAAUUUAAAAUCUGUUAGCCUUUGGUUGACCGAGUUGUAAUUUAGAGAAGCGUUAUCCGCGUUGGACUGUGUAUAAGUUUCCUGGAAGGGGACAUCAUAGAGGGUGAGAAUCCCGUCUUUGACACAGACUACCAAGGCUUUGUGAUGCGCUCUCGAAGAGUCGAGUUGUUUGGGAAUGCAGCUCAAAAUGGGAGGUAAAUUCCUUCUAAAGCUAAAUAUUGGCGAGAGACCGAUAGCGAACAAGUACCGUGAGGGAAAGAUGAAAAGAACUUUGGAAAGAGAGUUAAACAGUACGUGAAAUUGCUAAAAGGGAAACGCUUGAAGUCAGUCGCGUUGGCUGGAAAUCAACCUUGCUCUUGCUUGGUGUAUUUUCUAGUCGACGGGUCAACAUCAGUUUUGAUUGCUGGAUAAAGUGUGAGGGAAUGUGGCAUCUUCGGAUGUGUUAUAGCCCUUGCUCGUAUACAGCGGUUGGGACUGAGGAACUCAGCACGCCGCAAGGCCGGGUCUUCGGACUACGUUCGUGCUUAGGAUGUUGGCAUAAUGGCUUUAAUCGACCC
rnacentral:rRNA from 1 species